UCCCUCUUCCUCAUCUCUCGCCCCCUCUGCCCUUCUCCUCGCCGCGCCUUGCCGCGGCCAUCUCCCUUCUCCGGUGACUCCCGCCGCCUUGUCAGUGCCUACCAUUCCUCUCAUCUCUCCCUCUUCUGGUCGACGGCAGCUGCCACCAUCGCCGCCUCCGCGUUGACAGCAGCACAGCCCAGCCGCCGCCUCCCCUUUUCUAGAUCUGGUGUCGCCCAACC
rnacentral:lncRNA from 1 species